AAGGCUUUAGCUUAAUUAAAGUAUCUGGGUUGCAUUCAGAAGAUGUGGGGUAGUGUCCUGCAGGUUUUA
rnacentral:tRNA from 2 species